rnacentral:rRNA from 1 species
ACUCCUACGGGAGGCAGCAGCGAGGAAUAUUGCGCAAUGGGCGAAAGCCUGACGCAGCAACACCGCGUGAGGGAAGAAGGCCCUCGGGUCGUAAACCUCUUUUGUUAGGGAAGAAUAAUGACGGUACCUAAUGAAUAAGUCACGGCUAACUACGUGCCAGCAGCCGCGGUAAU